CUGUGAGGGUUCGGUGUCUGCAGCGGGGCGUGAUGCUGCACCACGCGUACAGAAGCAGAAAGCUACACCAGAGCUACAACUUGGCUCUUCUGGCAAUGCAUAGCCAGACCUCUUCAGGAUCAGAGCUGGACAAGGAAGCGAUCAAAAGCAGCAAACAAACCUAAAUGUGCUGCUUCCUGCCUUUCAGAGGCAAGCCAAACUACUUCACAAACUGGGGGCUUAAACAGGAAAGGAGAUGAUACUGCCUCAAACCCCGCUUCCCGCAGUACCUCAAUACUUCCGUCCACAAAAUCAUCAGGUGCAAGCACACCAAAAGCCACAAGUCAUCCUGCUUGAUCCUCAGUUACCAGCAGCAUUCAAACAUCAAAAUCAGAGCCUCAUCCACCAAGCUGCAAAACUUCUGUAGGACCAUAGUCAAAGAGCUGCACUUAGGCUGAGAUGAAAACUGUUUCAGUAGCUGAGCUGAAGAAAUGACGCUCACUUUCACCUUUGCCGCAUCACUGCACUGUUCACUACCGGGAAAUGGAGGUGGCAUUCAGACCAGCCGCUCUGCUGGAAGAUGUUGCUGUGGGGUCAUUACUGGCAGUGAGUUGGCACUUAGUGAUGGUGAACUCUGUACUAACUUCUGCCACAGAGAAUCAGAGACAUUUGGCAGAAUCACCAAGGUUGGAAAAGACCUCCAAGAUCCUCUAGUCCAACUAUCCACCUACAACUGCUGGGUGAGAACAGGCAAUAAUUUGAAUUGUAUGAGGUUAACUGCUAGACAAUAACACAUGUAAUCAUUACUAUGGUUGUUAUAUGCCUUGUCAAUGGUAUUACAGUAAGAAUCACCCAGACUAAAGAAGAAAGAGUUCUGAUGGAAGCAGAACUAACUUCAGCAAGCAGUAAUCCAACACCAUGCAUCACCCCUUUCACACUGAAGGACUGUUAUAACAAGAUGGUGUCGAAAGUCAUAGACUAAAUUAACUCCAUGUACAAUUUACUGGGAUGGCCUCCCACUGGGAGGGGGAAGGGAAGUAAGCAAAAGGCUGCUUGGUGUUAAGCUGCUUGCUGGGUUAAACCACAACAGCACAUUGGAAGAAACAUACUAUCACAUGCAGUCAGCUGAACUUACCCAGAGCUGGAAUGAGACAGGAAAAAAAAAACAUCAUUAUGGUGGUGUACGCAUCUGAGGCCAGUAACACCAAGCCAGACUAGGGGUCCCAACACUGAGGAAGCCCUUCGUGUUGAGACCUCCAGCCACAGGAAAAGGCAGUGCCUGCUUAAGUCCAGAAAGUAAAACAUUUCUGCAUUAUGGGAAGGUUUGCCCAUAGGAAAACCGAUUUGAACUCCAGAUGACAGAACUGCCUGUUCAGUAAGUCAGGAUCAAGGGCAAUGCUGUUAUCCUUCAUGUCCACUGUGACCCUCACAUUAGGACCUCCAGUCUCAGGGCAGGAUGAAGAAUAAAACUGAAUGCUAAUACUCUAAAAUGAAGUGAAAAAUCAUUUAAAAAUUCAACAUUUUCUUUUUCCUUGCCCUGCUAGCCUUCCCC
ensembl:lncRNA